CCUACGGGAGACAGCAGUAGGGAAUUUUCGUCAAUGGGGGGAACCCUGACCUAGCAACGCCGCGUGAACGAGGAAGUUAUUCUUAAUGUAAAAUUCUUUUUACAGGGGAGCAAGCGAAAUUUCACGUUCCCUGACGCAUGUGCCCCGGCUACCUCCGUGCCCUCAGCCGCUGCAAUACGUAGGGAUCGUGCGUAAUCCGGACUUAUUUGGCGUAAAGGGUGCGUAGAUGGUAUAGUAAGUCUUUUGUAAAAAUCCUGGGUUCAACCCAGUAGCGCAAGCGAUACUGCAAGGCUAGAGUAUGAGAGAGGUAAGUGGAAUGAGCGGUGUAGCGGUGAAAUGCGUAGAUAU
rnacentral:rRNA from 1 species